GCCAGUGUGGCAUAGUGGUUUGAGUGCUCGACUAUGACCCCUGGAGACCAAGGCUCGAUUCCCAGCUCAGUCA